CCCUCCCUCUAAAAGAAAACCCUUAACCUUCUCCCUAUGGUAUCACAAUAUAACUUAUCAGAGUUAUCAAGUUGCCUGAGAAACUGCUCGUCGCCUACGAGAAAUACGAUCUUCACUUGCGAUUGACAAAUAAUCUAAGGAUCUUACAGUUUCCUUCUCCUUCUGAUCAGGCGGUAAAGAUAAUAUUCCAGCAAAGACAAUGAGGCAACCAAUGGAAGGAUUUGCUUCUUGGCACGACAACCUGGACGGCAGGCGAUUGAUGCAAACGAUUGCUGCCGUGCCGUGGCCAGACCUUCUUCGACUGUGCCUGUAUACAGAUCUGAGCCUCUAUUCAAUUGUUUUCACCACCUUGGUAUUGUUAUUGUUCCAUUAAGACCCUCUAUUUACACUGUCAGAACUCAUGCCACCAAGAUUUUUUUCUCAACUCUACUUAACUUUGAAGUAUUGUUAUUAUAAUUAUUGGUUUCUUGAACGUGAAAUGAUGUGUUUGCACAUGUUUUCUUGUUUCAAGAAUAUGCCAAUAGAUAUGGUUAUCCGUACCUAUAUUACAUGUGAACAUAAAAGUAGGUAAAUGCAGUUAUAUCUAUUUUUAGCACUCGAAACUAUUUUUAGAAUAUUCCAAUGUUGUUAAUGGUUAUGUCUUUUAUUCGUGAUUUCUAGUCUUACAGUUACUCAUAAAAUUGAGGAUUUACUUGUACCCCCUGAAAUUGCAAAAUGGCAGCUGUCACUUAAACUUAUCAAUUAGAUUUUGAAGGAAAUGUUUCCUUUUUGUGCUGAAUUGUAGUAACAGAAAGUUAAGCCUCAAUGUUGUAUGAUAGAACAUUCUUCUUUGACUUACUCACAACAUAAACAAUAUUGUUUUAAUAAGUCUUGGUUUAUAAACAUGCUCAAAUUGAGAAGAUUGAGUAGUUACGGUUUAUCUAAUUAGUUUGAUGGAGUUUAAAAACCAAUCAAGUCCUUAAUUCAAUAUAAGUCAUGUUCGAAAAAAAUCAGCUAGCAAAUCUUGACUUCAAGACUUUGCUUUUAUGAAAUUCAAUCUCGUCUUUAGGGAGUAUGUGUUAUACUUACUAAAUUUCCUGAUACGCUUUUUCUUAUUUACUUUAUUUGAUUCUUAUGUCACUAAUGUUUUUUUAAUUAUGACUUGAUUGUCCAGAUGCUAUCCUUAGUAUUAAAUGUGUUAAAAGGCCUCAUGUCACCCACUAGUCAAUCUACGCGCUUUAAUUGGUUUUUAUUUUGACUUCACAUGAAGUGGCCACAUCUCUAAGGAGGUGCAUAUUUCUACUAACCAAUCUUUCUUCCUUUGCGAGAUGUUUCUAUCUAUGGAGUUUGAUUGAAGACGUUGCCUUUAAUUGAUAUGAAGCAAUUUUGUGUCUUAAACAAGGUAUUAUCAACAACAUUUUAUUUCCAACAUAGCAGCAGCGUAGCACGUCUACGACGUGACCCUCUCUUCCUCUUGUUGUUGAUUUGGGAAUUGUUGAAAGUUGAAGCAAGCUGGAUUAAAUAUUGUUCUAUGCAAUUUGAGAUAUACAUCGUAGAGCAGAUACGGGUUGAGGUCUAGAGCCGUUGAGCUAUGACCAGGUACAGACGCUCGUUUUGGAGAUCCGCCAACCUAGGAUAUCUAUCCAGCUACUUUGGGAAGCUCCUUUGUUCCGGAGCCUAGCUUGUGGUAUAAAUCCCUUUUGUUGUGUAUAUAUGUAUUUGUUCGGGGUACGGCGGGGACCUGUCCCGUCAUAUGACACUGUCAUUACUCUUAGAGGUCUGCGGACAUUUGUGUGGGUCUGUAUAUAGUUGUUGUUUCGUCGUAUGGAUAUGACUUAUGUUUGGGGCAUACCCAUUCGUAGUGGCAGCCUUGUCGGCUUGUAUAUAUAUAUAUAUAUAUAUAUAUAUAUAUAUAUAUAUGUUUGGGAUGUUGCGUGUAGUGGCAGCCUUGUCGGCUUGCGUAGAUAUAUAUAUGUUUGUUGUUGGAAAUUGUAACUCCUCGGGAGACAGGUGGCUAUGACAUGCAUAUAUGUGAUAGCUUUAAAAUAACGUCUUGCCUUGUUAUACAAAUAGGUUCUCGAUAUGCUAGCUGUAGAUGAUUAUAGUUAA